CAGAAGGAUGAGGACCUUACCAGCCUAUACACACUGUGGAUGGUGCAGCCCACCUGAAUCCGAGCCCUGGGACUUCUGUGGAGUCUUCCAGACAUCCAUGUCCUCGUUCUCCCCACCUCAUCUCCAUCCUCAGCAUCCCCUACAGCCACAUGCAUGGAGACCUUCGGCCCCUCCCUGUCCUCUCUGUCCUUUGGAAGGACCCCAGAAACAGCAGCUGAGCCCUCCACCUUUGAGCAACAGCUGUUGGACUUUCACAAGCGGCAGGACACCCUCCUGGCCAGCUGGUCCCAGCAACAGAGCACACGGAUGGCCCAGCAAAACCAGCUGCUGUAGCAGCUGACCAAGCAAAGCCAGUGGCUGGCUGAUGGCGUCAAGCUCUCAACCAAAACCCUUGAGCACUUGGUGGCAGCUUGCCUUGCCCAGGAAGCCUCAUCUGCAGUCCCAUACAACGUCCCAGGUGGUGGAACAGCACAGAGACCCACCCAGUGUCCCUGGAAGACCCACCUGUGCCUGGAGGUCUCCUCACGGAUCCUAAAGGCUAGAUCCACCUGAGAAGAGGACCCUCAAUUGAGAAUGUGCCUCCCUCUUACUGGCACACAGGUAAACCUUUCUGGAAACACCAGAUAUUGUCCAGAGAUGUGUUUCCAUGGCGAUCCUCAUCUAGCCAAGUUGGCAAUGAGGAUGAAUAAUCAAUCAGCAUCAACUUUCAACU